rnacentral:rRNA from 1 species
UACGGGAGGCAGCAGUGGGGAAUCUUAGACAAUGGGCGCAAGCCUGAUCUAGCCAUGCCGCGUGAGUGAUGAAGGCCUUAGGGUCGUAAAGCUCUUUCGCCAGGGAUGAUAAUGACAGUACCUGGUAAAGAAACCCCGGCUAACUCCGUGCCAGCAGCCGCGGUAAUACGGAGGGGGUGAGCGUUGUUCGGAAUUACUGGGCGUAAAGCGUACGUAGGCGGAUCAGAAAGUUAGGGGUGAAAUCCCGAGGCUCAACCUCGGAACUGCCUCUAAAACUCCUGGUCUUGAGUUCGAGAGAGGUGAGUGGAAUUCCAAGUGUAGAGGUGAAAUUUGUAGAUAUUUGGAGGAACACCAGUGGCGAAGGCGGCUCACUGGCUCGAUACUGACGCUGAGGUACGAAAGUGUGGGGAGCAAACAGGAUUAGAUACCCUGGUAGUCCACACCGUAAACGAUGAAUGCCAGUCGUCGGGUAGCAUGCUAUUCGGUGACACACCUAACG